rnacentral:rRNA from 1 species
UACAGAGGUGGCAAGCGUUGUUCGGAAUUACUGGGCGUAAAGGGCGCGUAGGCGGCCAUCUAAGUCAGACGUGAAAUCCCCCGGCUUAACCUGGGAAUUGCGCUCGAAACUACGUGGCUCGAGUGUGGCAGAGGAAGGUGGAAUUCCACGUGUAGCGGUGAAAUGCGUAGAGAUGUGGAGGAACACCGAUGGCGAAGGCAGCCUUCUGGGCCAACACUGACGCUCAUGCACGAAAGCGUGGGGAGCAAACAGG